rnacentral:rRNA from 1 species
GAGAUUGAGAGUUUGAUCUGGCUCAGGACGAACGCUGGCGGCGUGCUUAACACAUGCAAGUCGAACGGAGACUUGAGGGAGCUUGCUCCCGAAAGCCUUAGUGGCGGACGGGUGAGUAACGCGUGGGUAACCUGCCCUAGAGAGGGGGAUAACACCGCGAAAGUGGUGCUAAUACCGCAUGAAGCUAUUUGAUUGCAUAGUCGGAUAGCCAAAGGAGCAAUCCGCUCUGGGAUGGAUCCGCGUCUGAUUAGCUAGUUGGUGAGGUAACGGCUCACCAAGGCGACGAUCAGUAGCCGGCCUGAGAGGGUGAACGGCCACACUGGGACUGAGACACGGCCCAGACUCCUACGGGAGGCAGCAGUGGGGAAUCUUCCGCAAUGGGCGAAAGCCUGACGGAGCAACGCCGCGUGAAUGAUGAAGGCCUUCGGGUUGUAAAAUUCUGUCUUCAGGGAAGAAAAAAAUGACGGUACCUGAGGAGGAAGCCCCGGCUAACUACGUGCCAGCAGCCGCGGUAAUACGUAGGGGGCAAGCGUUGUCCGGAAUUACUGGGCGUAAAGAGCGUGUAGGCGGAUAAUUAAGUCAGAUGUGAAAACUUGGGGCUCAACCGCAAGAGUGCAUCUGAUACUGGUCAUCUUGAGGGUAUGAGAGGGAAACGGUAUUCCUAGUGUAGCGGUGAAAUGCGUAGAUAUUAGGAGGAACACCAGUGGCGAAGGCGGUUUUCUGGCAUACAACUGACGCUGAGACGCGAAAGCGUGGGGAGCAAACAGGAUUAGAUACCCUGGUAGUCCACGCCGUAAACGAUGGGUACUAGGUGUAGGAGGUAUCGACCCCUUCUGUGCCGGAGUUAACACAUUAAGUACCCCGCCUGGGGAGUACGGCCGCAAGGUUGAAACUCAAAGGAAUUGACGGGGGCCCGCACAAGCGGUGGAGCAUGUGGUUUAAUUCGACGCAACACGAAGAACCUUACCAGGGCUUGACAUCCUCUGAAUACCCAGAGAUGGGUAGUGCCUUCGGGAGCAGAGAGACAGGUGGUGCAUGGUUGUCGUCAGCUCGUGUCGUGAGAUGUUGGGUUAAGUCCCGCAACGAGCGCAACCCAUGUCCUUAGUUGCCAGCGGUUCGGCCGGGAACUCUAAGGAGACUGCCGGUGAUAAACCGGAGGAAGGUGGGGACGACGUCAAGUCAUCAUGGCCCUUAUGGGCAGGGCUACACACGUGCUACAAUGGCCAGUACAGAAGGUUGCCAACCCGCGAGGGGGAGCUAAUCCUGUAAAGCUGGUCGUAGUCCGGAUCGCAGUCUGCAACUCGACUGCGUGAAGUCGGAAUCGCUAGUAAUCGCGAAUCAGCAUGUCGCGGUGAAUACGUUCCCGGGCCUUGUACACACCGCCCGUCACACCAUGGGAGUGGGCUGCACCAGAAGUAGGUUGCUUAACCCGUAAGGGAGGGCGCUUACCACGGUGUGGUUCAUGACUGGGGUGAAGUCGUAACAAGGUAGCCGUA